CUACAGCCUAUAAAAAUGCCUGUCUGGAAGUAAACAGAAGCCAAAUACAUGUUUUUGAUGGACUAACAGGAUCAAUAACGAUCACUUUCUUCAUUGGAGUUCCAAGUCAAAGACACCCUUCCAGCAUUCACUGCUGCUGCUGCUGCUGCUGCUGCGCCACUUCAGUCGUGUCUGACUCUGUGUGACCCCAUAGACGGCAGCCCACCAGGCUCCUUCGUCCAUGGGAUUUUCCAGGAAGGAGUACUAGAGUGGGGUGCCAUUGCCUUCUCCUCCAGCAUUCACUAGACAUUUCUAUUUGGGCUGACUUUGCAAUUAAACUUCUGGUGCUCACAAAUGAAGUAAAUGUACUACUUACAGAGUUAGUUGGCUUUUAGUGAGAGAAAUAUUUUUUUGUAUGUGUUAAUUCAUUGUGUUUCUCAUAGUAUGAUAUAAUUUACAUAUUAAUUAGAAAACUCUACUUAGCUGCUUAUUCUCUCCCACCAAACUAUAUAACCACAGUGAUUUUAAUAAAGUUUUAUAGUAACUCUGGUAACUAGUUAGAUUUGUGGUAGGUAACUUCUUUACAUUAAUGUAAAAUGGAGAAUUGUGCAAAUGUUCAUUUCAGCUUUUCAAUUUGGGUCAUCUUUAUAUGUGAGUUCUUACAUAAAUAAUUUAUAAUUUAUCUUCUUACUUAGGUAUUUAUUUAUAUUUUGCCCUUUGUGAGUUAACAUUAUCUCCUUUGUCCUACCUUGAACAUUUGUUUGUUUUGUUGUUUACUCUGCUGUUUGUCAUGUAAAUGUAAUAUACUUUGAACUUGAUUUUCACCUUGAAGAAGGCUCUGUUAUAGAGAAUGCAAAGCUAGUCCUGCUAAAUAUGUAACAUUUUCUGCUUUUGCUUUCACAUUUCCUUAAUUCUUUAAAUUCAUGAAGUCAGCACCUAACUCUCAAAUUAUUAUUAACAUUAAACUUGUUCUUAUCGGAUGCACUAAUUGUCUAAUAAAUAAUGUUUUUUUUUAUUUAUGGAUAACAGUGCUUAAUUAUCAGAGGCACCAUUUUAAAUAAUUUAAAAUGAGAAUGACCAUUUUCCCCAACUCAUAUGGUCUUUUUAAUUAUUUAUUUCAUUUAAUAAAUACAUACCUAACUCUUAUUAUAUGCUAGAUCUUAUUGCAGACUUUGUAAAUGCUAAUUUAUUAAUCUUCAUAGCAACCCCUUAGGUAAGUACUAUUAUACCCAUUUUGUAGAUGAAGACCUUGACUAACAGGGUUUAAAUAACUUCAUGCAACUAAUAACUGCUGGAACUUAAAUUUGCGCGCUUUCCCCCUGUGCUAACAAUAUACUUUUUUCCUUCUUUAUCGAUCAUUUUCAUGACCAGUAAAUCUCAUCAUUUCUGUCACAUACCUAUCCAAUAUGAAUUUGUGACAUGGAUUAUGAAUAUGAAAUCAGUGUUGAGCAUACAUUAUGCCAUUUUUUAACUUUUUAUCUCAUUAAGAUAGCAUGCUUAUUAACAUACUAGGUUUGAUAAAAAGGCCUGUGAUUAUGGAAACCAAAGUCAUUUUCAAUUAAAAGGGAUCUCAUCUCUCAAAUAUUCAUUCUUCCCACCUAUAUGAAUAAGGGCUGUGAUUAGUUUUAGUUUUCUUGAUCAUUUUACUCCUUUCUGAAAGUUGCUUUGGGAGAGAUUGUAAUUUCAUCUGGGUAGAUAUAGCCAUACUAUCUUGGUUUUCCUGGACAUUUUGUUUCUUACCAAAAUUGUUAAUAAAAUAAAAUGCAUUAUUUUAACUGGUGUCAUACUGAAAAUUUGGAGGGGGUGUUCAAAGUGUGGCUCUUUCUAUGCGUUUAAAAGUAUUUAUA
ensembl:lncRNA